GGUGAACGCUGGCGGCGUGCUUAAGACAUGCAAGUCGAACGGGCUCUUCGGAGCCAGUGGCGCACGGGUGAGUAACGCGUAACUGACCUACCCCAAAGUCGCGGAUAACGAUUCGAAAGAAUCGCUAAUACGUGAUGUGCUGUCAGAUCCUGUUCUGCCAGUAAAGAUUUAUUGCUUUGGGAUGGGGUUGCGUUCCAUCAGCUAGUUGGUGGGGUAAAGGCCCACUAAGGCGACGACGGAUCGCCGGCCUGAGAGGGUGGCCGGCCACAGGGGCACUGAGACACGGGUCCCACUCCUACGGGAGGCCGCAGUUAGGAAUCUUCCACAAUGGGCGAAAGCCUGAUGGAGCGACGCCGCGUGAGGGAUGAAGGUAUCGGAUCGUAAACCUCUGAAUCAGGGACGAAAGACGCGAAAGCGGGAUGACGGUACCUGAGUAAUAGCACCGGCUAACUCCGUG
rnacentral:rRNA from 1 species